rfam:Gossypium raimondii Chr01_contig_183, whole genome shotgun sequence.
UGCUAAAAGUUUCAUCCAUUUUUAUUAUUAAAAACUAAUGUGGAUGGCAGAAUAAUCACGCAAGUAUACCUGUUGUGCCACGUGUACUUCAUUCUAACAUAUAAUGACCAAUUUUUAAUGGUAGAAAUGAAUGAAAAUUUUAACA